CCCCGGCCUAAAAUACAGUUCAAACAUCCAGAAAAUAAGUAAAGCAAGGAUAGACGGACGUCCGGACACACGGCGACUUGCGGGCGGAAUUAAGAUACCUCUGGACACAGACGAGGCUCAUAUCAAAGACAGGGACCUUGACAUCUUAUGAUGCUUCGUAAGUGGUAUUCUGGAGAUAUUCUCGACUUUUCUGUACGAGUUGUUGUUAGUGAUGUAAGACAUUUCAAGCGAUGUGAUAGAUUCCCGCCAAGUGACUGCUCGUACUAACUCAAACUCAGGAUUUCCGUUUCUGUCCUGUGAGAUGUGAGCGAACGAACUGUUCCGAUUAGUUAUGACGUUGUGGUUGCCAUGACGAUGUUUUUAAAAAAAUACUGUUGAAUUUUUGUUUGUUGACACAUAUCAUGAUAUAGAUUCAUUAUGAAAUGCAUUUUACCGGAGUCGGUAAACAGAUAUACCAGUAGAAAGAUGUCAGCUUAUGACAAUUUUAAAAGUACAUGUACUAAAAACCAAAUCAAAUUAUCAAAACCCAAUAUCAAUAGACCAAGUGAAAAGCCAAAACCUCCAUUAUUAUUAUAGCCAUAUUUGCUGUUAGAUAUCUGUGACGUAAAACCCGAUUUGGGGGCAAGUGGUGAUGAGCAAUGUUUGACCCCCCCCUCCGAGUUUUUUUUUAAUUCAAUAUUCAUUGCCACCACCAUUUACAUGUAACAGACCAGAUUAUAUUUCUCCGAAGCAUUUCAACCAUGAACCUUGCAUUGUUGACAUUUUUAGAUUCUAGCUAUUUGUUUCUGCCGAUGGGCUUUCGUUGAUGAUUGUAACUGUUAGUAAGACGAUUUUUCAAAGGUUAUUGAGAAUGAUCAUUUUACGAGAUGUCUGAAUAUUUUGAUUACUAUUAUAAUCAAGGGAAGAGGGAAAAGGGGGUGGGGCUAUUCUAUUGUUUUACUAUCAUUUACAUAGUUUCUUUUAAUAUUCAUGUAGAAAGUCUUCUAACAAAAACCCUAAGAGUAUAAAAUUGGGGGGUUUUCCCAAAUAUUUAAUAAGCUUGUUUGAAUAUUCCACCAUUUUUUUCAAAACCAUGCAAAUAACUGAUUUAAUUUUACUUUGAGAUUGGACAACAAUGUUAAACCGACAGGGUAUGUGAUUUUAAACGGUGGCCUACAUUGUUGUACAAACAGGGUAUGUGGUUUGGGUGCAUGCGCAAUGGUGUUCCUGUUCAUGAUUCUACUUGCUUUAAAUUAAAGAUAUCUCUUUUGUAGAUUUGAACCUUAUCUAUAGAUUUAUCAUUUAAAUACGUUUAAAAUUAGUUUACAAUUACCCCUUAGCCCACACGUUUUAACACUGCCUUCUCGACAUGAAUAUUGUUUAUGUAUGCCAAAAUUGUUUGUAUCCAUAAAUAAAACAUUGAGGGCAAAGACGAAACACACGUCAUUACGAAACCAAUUUUAAGUUCUAAAAUUAUAAUUGGACAAUGUCCGAACCCGACCCUGUCCCCAUUUUUUUCCAGACACGAGCUGCACGUAGAUUAUUUUGAUUGCAAUAACCCUAUUGUGACGAGUACCUCCAUGUUAACCCGUGAAUUGUGAUAUCUUGUUACUAUUUUUAAUCAUACUUCUCUACCUUUCCAUUGGAUGUAGUAGUCAUGUGACGACAUUCCCAAAGUUUCAUCACCUUAGUUACAUUUUUUAAAGUUUCACUUUGAAUAAAUUUGAAAUAAAA
rnacentral:misc_RNA from 1 species